AUGAACGCUGGCGGCGUGCCUAAUACAUGCAAGUCGAACGAAACUUCUUUAUCACCGAGUGCUUGCACUCACCGAUAACGAGUUGAGUGGCGAACGGGUGAGUAACACGUGGGCAACCUGCCCAAAAGAGGGGGAUAACACUUGGAAACAGGUGCUAAUACCGCAUAACCAUAGUUACCGCAUGGUAACUAUGUAAAAGGUGGCUAUACUACCGCUUUUGGAUGGGCCCGCGGCGCAUUAGCUAGUUGGUAGGGUAAAGGCUUACCAAGGCAAUGAUGCGUAGCCGAAUUGAGAGGGUGAUCGGCCACAUUGGGACUGAGACACGGCCCAAACUCCUACGGGAGGCAGCAGUAGGGAAUCUUCCACAAUGGGCGAAAGCCUGAUGGAGCAACGCCGCGUGAGUGAAGAAGGUAUUCGGAUCGUAAAACCCUGUUGUUAGAGAAGAAAGUGCGUGAGAGUAACUGUUCACGUUUCGACGGUAUCUAACCGGAAAGCCACGGCUAACUACGUG
rnacentral:rRNA from 1 species